rnacentral:rRNA from 1 species
UACGUAGGGGGCAAGCGUUAUCCGGAAUUACUGGGUGUAAAGGGUGCGUAGGCGGUAAUGAAAGUCAGGUGUGAAAGCCCGAAGCUCAACUUCGGGAUUGCACUUGAAACUUCAUAACUAGAGUACAGGAGAGGUGAGUGGAAUUCCUAGUGUAGCGGUGAAAUGCGUAGAUAUUAGGAGGAACACCAGUGGCGAAGGCGACUCACUGGACUGUAACUGACGCUGAGGCACGAAAGCGUGGGUAGCGAACAGGAUUAGAUACCCUGGUAGUCCACGCCGUAAACGAUGAAUGCUAGGUGUCGGCUCAUUAAGGGUCGGUGCCGAAGUAAACACAUUAAGCAUUCCACCUGGGGAGUACGUACGCAAGUAUAAA